CUCAAUCUGUAUUUGUGUAAAUUAUUAUAUGUAUUCCCCUUUUUUACAUUUUGCAUAAUUAAUACAUUAGAAUCGAGUUAGAAAAAUUAACACUUAAAAUAAGUCACACAAUCAUAUUACAUUUUUUAUAGCUCAUCAUAAAAAAAAAAUCCAACAAACCCUAAAACAACAUGUUACACAACGGUAACCAAGUAAUAUGUACUUAGUAUUUAAGUGUAUUAAAGAAAUAGUAAUGAAAAU